UCUCCUUUGAAACAAUACUAAAAUCAACCAAUCCGAGCGCUUGCCAGUCAAGGUCUAUGGCUGCCCUUUCCUCUUGACUAGGUCGACCAGCUCUGUGUUGGCCAACGUCACUCCAGCGGGAACUGUGUUCUGUGGAGUCCGGUUAUUUCCGGCCACAGUAGAGCCCAGCCCGCCUUUCUGGCCGCUACCCAAUUACUUUGGGGUGUUGAUAGUGAUCGGCAGUAGCGCUAGCCACCAAGGGUUUUUGCUUGUCCGGGUCGUGCGCAGGCUUGUUCUUCAUUAAACUUUUCCAGUACCCGGAUUCCAGAUUGGACAACUCCAGAGUUGCUGGAGCGGAAGGUUGGAGCACCCCUUCCGCGGUCACGUGGGUUCUGUUAGGCACCAGCUGGAACUCUCCGUGGCUCCCACUUCCCGGGACAUCGCAGGACCCGAUGACCCGCUUUCCCGCCUGAGAGUGGAGAAAUGCAGGUGCGCUUCUGUCUUGUCACUUUCUGGCAAUCAGAGUAUCUUCACUUAGAGGUACACUAGUGACCGUAGGUUCCGACAGAUUCCGUGGUUUGGUUUUAAUCAAAGGGGUAAAACAGAGAUGGCUUUGGAGUAUUGGAACUGAUUAGCUCUGUUCGCUGGUGGGGUCCUGCAUUCCUUAUUUGAGUUUUGUAAGCAAGAAGACAUAGAAUGAUUUUAACGGAUGGUUACUUUUGGUUAUCCAGGGCUUGGAAUUCGAUAAUGAAUUAAGUAAAAUAAUUUCCUUCUUUCUGCUGUCAUGUUUUUCUAACUUUCACCACAUAUGGGGAAGGGGAUAGGGAAGCUGGAGUAAUGUGUUUAUUCUACUUGUUACCAUGGUAAACAAACAAAA